rnacentral:tRNA from 1 species
GAGGGUAGAGCUCAGUGGUAGAGCAAGCGCUCCGCAUGCACGAGGUCCUGGGUUCAAUCCCUGGUACCUCCA